rnacentral:rRNA from 1 species
GAAAGGCUAGCCGGUGACGGUGCGCGAAUCCCAAAAAUAAAACGUCUCAGUUCGGAUUGUAGUCUGCAACUCGACUACAUGAAGCUGGAAUCGCUAGUAAUCGCGGAUCAGAAUGCCGCGGUGAAUACGUUCCCGGGUCUUGUACACACCGCCCGUCACACCAUGGGAGUCGGAAAUGCCCGAAGUCUGUGACCGAACCGAAAGGAAGGAGCAGCCGAAGGCAGGUCGGAUGACUGGGGUGAAGUCGUAACAAGGUACC